CUCUGAUAGACGUGGGAGGAGGAGCGAGGAUGACAUUUAUAUCAGAUGAAGAGUUCUGACUGUGUCGCAGCUGCACAGACGUCUCAUCGUGUCGUGUUCUGAUUAAUAAUGAACGAGCAGCUGCAGAUGAGAUUCAUGAGGACGUCUUCACAGUUUUUCAGCUCUCAGUCAUGAAGAGGUGUGGACUGAUCCUGCUGCUGCUCUCAGGUUACGUGAUGGUCUGCCAUCUUCAGUCUGAUCAGUUAGUCAGACAGCUCCACCUCGUUGACCUGCAGAAGUCCUGGAACGAUGCUCAGCAAUACUGCAGAGAUGAGUACAUUGACCUCGCCAUCGUUAACAGCUCAGCUCUCAUCCAGGAAGCUCAGAAAAGGGCGGGGAGCACAGAGGCGUGGAUUGGACUCUCCAAGAGCGGCUGGAAAUGGUCUCAAACUGGUCCAGUUCAGUCA